CACGUAGGGUGCGAGCGUUGUCCGGAAUUAUUGGGCGUAAAGAGCUCGUAGGCGGUGUGUCGCGUCGGCCGUGAAAACCUGCAGCUUAACUGUGGGCUUGCGGUCGAUACGGGCAUCACUGGAGUUCGGCAGGGGAGACUGGAAUUCCGUGGUGAUAGCGGUGAAAUGCGCAGAUAGUCAGGAGGAACACCGGUGGCGAAGGCGGGUCUCGUGGGC
rnacentral:rRNA from 1 species